rnacentral:rRNA from 1 species
UACAGAGGUCCCAAGCGUUGUUCGGAUUUACUGGGCGUAAGGGGUGCGUAGGCGGUCGGGUAAGUCUGAUGUGAAAUCUCCGAGCUUAACUCGGAAAUGGCAUUGGAUACUAUUCGGCUGGAGAGUUGGAGGGGGGACUGGAAUACUUGGUGUAGCAGUGAAAUGCGUAGAUAUCGGGAGGAACACCAGUGGCGAAGGCGAUCACCUGGGGUUGUUCUGACGCUGAGGAGCGAAAGCUAGGGGAGCAAACGGG